rnacentral:rRNA from 1 species
GAGGAAUAUUGGUCAAUGGGCGCAAGCCUGAACCAGCCAUGCCGCGUGCAGGAAGACGGUCCUAUGGAUUGUAAACUGCUUUUAUUCGGGGAUAAACCUCCUUACGUGUAGGGAGCUGAAGGUACCGAAAGAAUAAGCACCGGCUAACUCCGUGCCAGCAGCCGCGGUAAUACGGAGGGUGCAAGCGUUAUCCGGAAUCAUUGGGUUUAAAGGGUCCGCAGGCGGGAUUGUAAGUCAGUGGUGAAAAGCGGCAGCUCAACUGUCGUCGUGCCGUUGAUACUGCAGUUCUUGAAUUUGAUUGGAGUGGGCGGAAUAUGUCAUGUAGCGGUGAAAUGCUUAGAUAUGACAUAGAACACCGAUCGCGAAGGCAGCUCACUAAGUCUGAAUUGACGCUCAUGGACGAAAGCGCGGGUAGCAAACA